AUAUAUUUAACGGCUGCGGUAUUCUGACUGUGCUAAGGUAGCGUAAUCAAUUGUUUUUUAAUUGAAAACUUGAAUGAAAGGUUAAACAAAUUACCUUAGUUUGUGCAGCUUGGUUAGUAAAUUAAAGUCAAGGUAAGAAUUCUUUGAUUUUCUAGGGGACGAUAAGACCCUAGAAGCUUUAAAAAAGAAAAAUUUUUAGUAGUUGUAUAGAUUUUUUACUGGGGCGGUAUUAGUGUUUUAACUACUAAAAAUAGAGGUCGAUCCUUUAGAUAAAGAUAAUUCGGUGAAGUUACUUUAGGGAUAACAGUGCGGUAUUCUUGGAAAGGUCUUAUUAAUAAGAAUGUUCGCAACCUCGAUGUUGAAUUAAGAUGUCUACGUGGAGCAGUAAAUAC
rnacentral:rRNA from 1 species